GUCCCGGUGCAGAGUAGGGUGCCCAGGUAUAUUACAGUAGACAGGUGUCUGCUCAGAUAAUGCCCCGGUGCAGAAUAGGGUGCCCAGGUAUAUCACAGUAGACAGGUGUCUGCUCAGAUAAUGCCCCGGUGCAGAGUAGGGUGACCAGGUAUAUCACAGUAGACAGGUGUCUGCUCAGAUAAUGCCCCGGUGCAGAGUAGGGUGCCCAGGUAUAUUACAGUAGACAGGUGUCUGCUCAGAUAAUGCCCCGGUGCAGAAUAGGGUACCCAGGAUGGCUGGUCUCAGACGAUCCCUCAGGUGAAGAAGCCAGAUGUCAAUGUUCUGGGCCAGCGUGUACUUAUUUGUUUAACUUUUUUAAAUGUAACCUUUAUUUAACUAGUCAAGUCAGUUAUGAUCAAAUUCUUAUUUACAAUGACACCGGCCAAACCUGGACGACGCGGGGCCAAUUGUGCGUCACCCUAUGGGACUCCCAAUCACAGCCAAUUGUGAUACCGCCUGGAAUCGAACCAGGGUGUCUGUCGUGACGCCUCUAAUCAAAUCAAAUCAAAUCAAAUUUUAUUUGUCACAUACACAUGGUUAGCAGAUGUUAAUGCGAGUGUAGCGAAAUGCUUGUGCUUCUAGUUCCGACAAUGCAGUAAUAACGAACAAGUAAUCUAACUAACAAUUCCAAAAAACUACUGUCUUAUACACAGUGUAAGGGGAUAAAGAAUAUGUACAUAAGGAUAUAUGAAUCCUUAUGGCGCAGUGCCUUAGACCACUGCGCCACUCGGGAGCCAUGGUUUCCAAGUUACAUGUGGUCUGCCGGUUGGACGUACUGCCAAAUUCUCUAAAAUGACUUUGGAGUCGGCUUAUGGUAGAGAAAUUAACAUUAAAGUCUCUGGCAACAGCUCUGGUGGACAUUUCCUGCAGUCAGCAUGCCAAUUGCACUCUCCUUCAAAAACAUCUGUGGCAUUGAAUUAUGUGACAAAACUGUAUAUUUUAGUGGCCUUUUAUUGUCCCCAGCACAAGGUGCACCUGUGCACCUCAUGCUGUUUAAUCAGCUUCUUGAUAUGACACACCUGUCAGCUGUAUGGAUUACCAUGGUAACGGAGAAAAGCUCAAUGACAGGGAUGGAAAAAUAAUUUGUGCACAACAUUUUUGAGAAAUAAUUUUUUGGGGCAUAUGGAACAUUUCUGUGAUCUUUUAUGAAACAUGUGACCAACACUUUACAUUUUGGACGUACAAUUCUGUUCAGUAUAGUAUAAAUAGUGCAGUACUUUUGGACAGGGUACAUAGGAAAAUGGGGAAUAAGGUGCCAUUUUGGAGGCAGCCUUGAGUUGUGUUUUUUAACCUACAGUAUUUGAACAGCUGUGCUGCUGCUGGCAGAUAGAUGUUUGAGGUAGUAGGGAAAAUAAAGCUGGACUGUAGAAGAAAUAGGGAGGUCAGAU
ensembl:lncRNA